rnacentral:tRNA from 1 species
AUAAGGUGGCUGAGUUUUAUAGGCGGUAGAUUGUAAAUUUAUUAACAAGUUAAUAACUUCCUUAUUAA